rnacentral:lncRNA from 1 species
UGAGUUUUCUAUAUUAAUUUUAUGGCCUUCUGUUUAUUGAAUCACAAUACUGUCUGAAAUUACUUUUUAGUUAUUCCUCUUAUAUUUUCCAGGUAUAGUAUAUUUCUGAAGAUAGUCAUAGUGUUUAUUUAUCCUGCUCAAUAUUUGUAACUCUUUUUCUUAUCAAAUACUUUUAACUGAAAAUGCCAAUGGGGUCUCUUCUUUUGUUACUUUCUGUAGGUGUACAUGAUGCCGGCCUUUUGGUAGUCUUCUCCAUUUGCCUCUUCAGUGGCUGAAUUUAAUCACCAAGAAACAAGAAACCAUGCAUGGGACAAGAAUCUAAUGAAGGAUAGGUACGUACAAUACAAUUGUUUCCUACAAAAAUAAUUUUUAAUAAAAUCUCUCUGUAGAUCUUAUUCAAGUUAUGAACCUUUCAUCUUCAAACAGUAAAG